CCUACGGGUGGCAGCAGUCGAGAAUCAUUCACAAUGGGGGAAACCCUGAUGGUGCGACGCCGCGUGGGGGAAUGAAGGUCUUCGGAUUGUAAACCCCUGUCAUGUGGGAGCAAAUUAAAAAGAUAGUAACACAAGAGGAAGAGACGGCUAACUCUGUGCCAGCAGCCGCGGUAAUACAGAGGUCUCAAGCGUUGUUCGGAAUCACUGGGCGUAAAGCGUGCGUAGGCUGUUUCGUAAGUCGUGUGUGAAAGGUGCGGGCUCAACCCGCGGAAGGCACAUGAUACUGCGAGACUAGAGUAAUGGAGGGGGGACCGGAAUUCUCGGUGUAGCAGUGAAAUGCGUAGAUAUCGAGAGGAACACUCGUGGCGAAGGCGGGUUCCUGGACAUUAACUGACGCUGAGGCACGAAGGCCAGGGGAGCGAAAGGGAUUAGAUACCCUUGUAGUC
rnacentral:rRNA from 1 species